GAUGAAGAACGUAGUGAAAUGCGAUAAGUAAUGUGAAUUGCAGAAUUCAGUGAAUCAUCGAAUCUUUGAACGCACAUUGCGCCCGCCAGUAUUCUGGCGGGCAUGCCUGUUCGAGCGUCAUUUCAACCCUCAAGCCCCAGCGGCCUGGUGUUGGGGACCGGCGACCUCGCCCGAGCCCGCCCUCCGGGGCGCGUGCCCGGUGCGUCCGCCGCCCCCGAAAUGAAUUGGCGGCCUCGUCGCGGCCUCCUCUGCGUAGUAGCACAACCUCGCAAGCGGGAGCGCGACGCGGCCACUGCCGUAAAACGCCCAACUUUUUUAGAGUUGACCUCGGAUCAGGUAGGAAUACCCGCUGAACUUAAGCAUAUCAAAAGCGGAGGA
rnacentral:misc_RNA from 1 species